GAUCUGUGAUUAGGGGUGAAAGGCUAAUCAAACUUGGAGAUAGCUGGUUUUCUGCGAAAAUUAUUUAGGUAAUGGGGUAAAUUAGAUUUUUUUAGGUAAAGCAGGAAUAGUAAGUAGUGAAAGAUCUACUGCGUUCAAACUCUGAAUUAGAAAAAUUGAUUUUACUACUUAGACCUAGGGUGCUAAGGUCCUAGGUCAAGAGAAAAAGAGUUCAGAGCGUAAGCUAAGGCCCAGAAACUAAGUUAAGACAAAGAAUGAUUCUUUUUAUGAUCACCAGGAGGUAGGUUGGAAGCAGCCAUCCUUUAAAGAAAGCGUCAUAGCUCACUGAAUGAAAAAGAAUUGUUCGAAAAUUAAAUUGGAAUUUAAUUUAGUGCCAAAGCUACGCCGAUUAAUCGGUUAGCGGAAUGUUCAGUAUAUUUAGGAAGUUUACGUAAUUAAACUAAGAUAGAUCUGAAACAAGAAUGCUGGUAUGAGUAGUGUAAAAUAAUGUAACUAACAUUAUCGCCGUAAGUCCAAGGUUUUCUAAUUAACUUUUAAGAAAAUUAGAGUAAUGCGUCCUCUUAGAUUAUAGCGAAAGCGACAAUUGAUGAGUUAAAAUAAUUAAUAUUUUAUUUCAAAUAACAUAUAGUGACCGAAAAAGAAUUGUUUGGUAUAUACAUAUAUAAAUAAAUCAAGCGGGUAUUUUUUGCUAGAAAAAUCUUGUUAACAUAUAACGUAAUUAAGCCGACACUGGUGGACUAGUUAAAUACUAAGGCGGUAGAAUAACCUUGUUUAAGGAACUCGGCAAAAUGAAUCUGUAACUUCGGGAAAAAGAUUGCCGGUGGUGGUUUUUUUAAAACUGUCAUUUUUGGCGGCACAGAAUAGAGGGUGGCGACUGUUUACUAAAAACACAGAACUCUGCUAAGUCAUAUAGACGAUGUAUAGGGUUUGAGACCUGCCCGGUGCUGGGAAGCAAAAUGAGAUUAUUAUUGUAUAUAUAUAUAUUUUAGUUUUCUUUAUAAACUCCAGUAAACGGCGGCUGUAACCAUGACGGUCCUAAGGUAGCGAAAUUCCUUGUCGGGUAAGUUCCGACGUGCACAAAUGGUGUAACGACCUCCCUACUGUCUCAAGCAUGGAUCUAAUGAAAUUGAAUUAUCUGUGAAGAUGCAGAAUACGAAUAGCUAGACGGAAAGACCCCGUGAACCUUUACUGUAACCUUAUAUUGUCUAAUUAGAUUAUUUGUGUAGUAUAAUUAAAUAAGCUUAGGAUCUCUAAUCUGGUAAAACGGAUUAUUAGGGAGGCGAAAGUGAAAUAGUAAUCUAAUAAACUAGUUAACUAAUCUUUAAAAAAGUAAAAGUAUAAGGUGGUCAGUUUGACUGGGGCGGUCGCCUCCUAAAUAGUAACGGAGUGCGCACAAAGGCAAGAUUCUCGAUAAAUUUUCUUUAUCGGGUUAAAGUGUAAGGGCAUAAGCUUGCUUAACUGAUAGAUCGACAGAUCGCUCAGAGAUUAAUAGUCGGUCCUAGUGAUCCGAUAUUUUUUUGUGGACAAAAUAUCGCCAACGAAUAAAAGGUACUCCGGGGAUAACAGGCUGAUGAUUUUUGAGAGUCUUAUCGACGAAAUCGUUUGGCACCUCGAUGUCGGCUCAUCACAUCCUGGUGCUGAAACCGGUGCCAAGGGUUCGGUUGUUCACCGAUUAAAGUGGUACGUGAGCUGGGUUUAGAACGUCGUGAGACAGUUCGGUCCCUAUCUACUAUUUGGCCAAUCUAGAUUGAUUAUCAAAAUUUUGUACCUAGUACGAGAGGACUGGUAUGAAAAUAUCCAUAGUUUAAGGGCUGU
rnacentral:rRNA from 1 species